UAACUUCUAAGUUAGACAUCUCUAACUUUUGACCAUUUUUUUAGAAAAAAUACAUUAACAUCUAUAUGUUGAAAGAAAUGCACUAUCAAAAUAUAUUUAAUGGAGAAUUUAAUGAAACUAAUUUGAUGUUAUGGAUGCUAGUGCAUUUUCCUAUAAACCUGGUCAAAGUUAGAGAAGUUUUACUUGGGACAAAACCAA
rnacentral:pre_miRNA from 1 species